rnacentral:rRNA from 1 species
AGGGCACCACCAGGAGUGGAGCCUGCGGCUUAAUUUGACUCAACACGGGGAAACUCACCCGGCCCGGACACCGGAAGGAUUGACAGAUUGAUAGCUCUUUCUUGAUUCGGUGGAUGGUGGUGCAUGGCCGUUCUUAGUUGGUGGAGCGAUCUGUCUGGUUAAUUCCGAUAACGAACGAGACUCUAGCCUAUUAAAUAGACGUCGGGUUCUCUGCACUCGACGGUCUUCUUGGAGGGACAAGGUGCUUUUAGCACCGCGAAACAGAGCAAUAACAGGUCUGUGAUGCCCUUAGAUGUCCGGGGCCGCACGCGCGCUACACUGAAGGAAGCAGCGUGUAACAACCUUGUUCUAACGAACUGGGUAACCCGUGGAACUUCCUUCAUGAUUGGGAUAGGGGUUUGCAAUUGUGCCCCUUGAACGAGGAAUUCCCAGUAAACACUAGUCAUCAGCUAGUGCUGAUUACGUCCCUGCCCUUUGUACACACCGCCCGUCGCUACUACCGAUUGAAUGGCAGAGUGA